rnacentral:rRNA from 1 species
AAGCUAACGCGUGAAGUCGACCGCCUGGGGAGUACGGCCGCAAGGUUAAAACUCAAAGGAAUUGACGGGGACCCGCACAAGCGGUGGAUUAUGUGGAUUAAUUCGAUGCAACGCGAAAAACCUUACCUACCCUUGACAUGUCCCGAAGCCCGGUGAGAGCUGGGUGUGCCCGAAAGGGAACGGGAACACAGGUGCUGCAUGGCUGUCGUCAGCUCGUGUCGUGAGAUGUUGGGUUAAGUCCCGCAACGAGCGCAACCCUUGUCAUUAGUUGCUACAUUCAGUUGGGCACUCUAAUGAGACUGCCGGUGACAAACCGGAGGAAGGUGGGGAUGACGUCAAGUCCUCAUGGCCCUUAUGGGUAGGGCUUCACACGUAAUACAAUGGCGCGUACAGAGGGUUGCGAAGGAGCGAUCUGGAGCCAAUCCCUUAAAGCGCGUCGUAGUCCGGAUUGCAGUCUGCAACUCGACUGCAUGAAGUCGGAAUCGCUAGUAAUCGCGGAUCAGCAUGUCGCGGUGAAUACGUUCCCGGGUCUUGUACACACCGCCCGUCACACCAUGGGAGUGGGUUUCACCAGAAGCCGGUCGCCUAACCGCAAGGAGGGCGCCGACCACGGUGAGAUUCAUGACUGGGGUGAAGUCGUAACAAGGUAACCAAGGG